rnacentral:rRNA from 1 species
GACGAACGCUGGCGGCGUGCUUCACACAUGCAAGUCGAACGAAGUGGCGAACGGGUGAGUAGUACGUGUGUAACCUGCCCUCCUUUUUGGGAUAAGCCUUGGCAACGGGGACUAAUACCGGAUAAAGGGGGAUGGGCGAGCUGCCUAUCAGCUUGUUGGUGUGGUGAUGGCCUACAAAGGCGGUGACGGGUAGCCGGGCUGAGAGGUUGACCGGCCACAUUGUGACGGAGAUACGGCCCAGACUACUACGGGGGGCAGCAGUGGGGGAUAGUGCACAAGGGGCGAAAGCCUGAUGCAGCGACUCUGCGUGGGGGAUGAAGGCUUUCGGGUUGUAAACCUCUUUCGCUAUCGAACGUGUAGUUGGAGAAGAAGCGCCGGCUAACUACGUGCCAGCAGCCGCGGUAAAC